rnacentral:rRNA from 1 species
UACGUAGGAUGCAAGCGUUGUCCGGAAUCAUUGGGCGUAAAGAGCGCGUAGGCGGCCCGGUAAGUCCGCUGUAAAAGUCAAAGGCUCAACCUUUGAAGGUCAGUGGAUACUGCCGGGCUAGAGUCCGGAAGAGGCGAGUGGAACUCCUGGUGUAGCGGUGGAAUGCGCAGAUAUCAGGAAGAACACCAACGGCGAAGGCAGCUCGCUAGGACGGAACUGACGCUGAGGCGCGAAAGCGUGGGGAGCGAACAGG